UACCGCGUGAGUGAAGAAGGCCUUCGGGUUGUAAAGCUCUUUCGGCAGGAAGAAAUCGUGCAGGCUAAUACCCUGUAUGGAUGACGGUACCUGAAGAAGAAGCACCGGCUAACUACGUGCCAGCAGCCGCGGUAAUACGUAGGGUGCGAGCGUUAAUCGGAAUUACUGGGCGUAAAGCGUGCGCAGGCGGUUUUGUAAGACAGGUGUGAAAUCCCCGGGCUUAACCUGGGAACUGCAUUUGUGACUGCAAGGCUAGAGUGCGGCAGAGGGGGGUAGAAUUCCACGUGUAGCAGUGAAAUGCGUAGAGAUGUGGAGGAAUACCGAUGGCGAAGGCAGCCCCCUGGGUCGACACUGACGCUCAUGCACGAAAGCGUGGGGAGCAAACAGGAUUAGAUACCCUGGUAGUCCACGCCCUAAACGAUGUCAACUAGGUGUUGGGGAAGGAGACUUCUUUAGUACCGCAGCUAACGCGCUAAGUUGACCGCCUGGGGAGUACGGUCGCAAGAUUA
rnacentral:rRNA from 1 species